UGUUCUUGGUGUGGCUUCUCAGUCCAGGCGGUCUCCGCCGCCGCUGCAUUGGAAGGGAGAUGCCCUCUGCUCUGUUUUGGGGCGCCGUUCUCGUGGUCUCCUGGCUGCUGCUUCCGGCUAGGGAGGCUUCGGCUCUGCGUCAGAUCGCUCACAGCAUGUACUCCAUCAGUCCGGCAAUACGAAAAGGCCGAGCUAACCUGGUUCUCAGGAUGGGCGUAUCUGUGUGAGAGUUUGUCGGCUUUGGGAACAUUGUGAUGAGGGCAGGGAUGCUGAGGUCCUGUGUCUGCAUAUGGUUUUAGGAGGCAAGAAGGUUUGUUAGUGCUUUUUGUUGUACAUUGUUUCUGCUCCUGGUAUCUUUCUUCCAUGUGUUGCAUAAUGUUUCCCUUUGGGAUUUGGUUGGUGAGUUCAACUAAAUGGUUAGCUAUUUGUAGUCUGCUUUGCCUUGGCUCUCCCAAUUUGCUCAUUGAUUUUUGCUGUUGUUGCUGUAGGGUCAUGGUAUCCAUGCUAUUAUCUACACACAAGUGAAUAUUAGAGCCCUUGGAAUAAUAGCAUUCAUUUUACGUGUGACAGACGGUUCUUUUACUUAAAUGAAUAUCAUGGCCUUCCUUUGAAUUGUGUAGAUGCUUGCUAAUUUAUGUGUUUUUAGACAUAUGGCUAUCAUCGUUUUGUGGGGUUGGAAUGAAGAGCAAGUGGAUGCUGGUGAAUUGAUCAGGAGGAGCCGUGGGGAACCAGUGAUCAUGCUUGCUAUGGGGUGCAGUUUUAAGAUGCAGGAUUGUAUACCUCUUUAUGAUCUGCGCUUUCAUUUCGGUUCAGUGUUACACAAUGGUUGCGUGUUGUUUCACUUUCAUGCUUUGCUGCUGUCUUUGGUUCUAACUUUUUAAUUAAUUUGUAUUCUGGAGGUAUGGUUAUGCUGACGGGGAGCUACUGGUCGAAGUUUUCAAUCAGUCUUGCUAAUCCAGGUGUAUCUGGCUUCCGUAACAAGUAAUUGUUGUUCUUAUCUGUUGAAGUGGCGUUAGUAUAAGCAGUGAUGUGUUCUUGCUGCUUGCUGACAGGGACCGGCAUUUUAGCUCCACUGGGAUGGAAGACGCCACAGUGGCUUAUUUAGCUCAUGUCAUUCCACGUGUGUUUAUGGUAUGCACAAGGCCUUCAGAUGCAAGAUAACUGUGGAGGCUAUACCAUCUAACCAAAAUUAUCGUGUGACCAGUAUAGCUGGAGUUUUUUUUUUUUGAGAAACACCAGUGUAGCUGGAAGGCAGUAAGAUGGCGGUGGUUAUCAGUGUUCAAAGCUGGGCUGUGGGAGUUGAUCAAAGAAAUCACAGCCCACUUUUUCCUUGCAUGCCACACAAGUAGAAAUCCCCCCUACGAAAUCCCUGUGGCACAACCAGCGCAGCGAACCGCGCCGCACUCGAAGAAAUCAUUGCUGAAUUAGAUACAGAAGGAUCAUGUGAGUGACUCCGGUGAAUGUGCCUAAAUAUCUCUACUGGCUUCCGCCUUGGCAUGUAUAAAUUCUACUGUAUGAUGCAUUGUCACUUUCAGGAAGAUGUAAAAUAUUGACAUGAUGUUGCAAGGCAACA